UACAGAGGGGGCAAGCGUUGUUCGGAAUUACUGGGCGUAAAGGGCGCGUAGGCGGCCUUCUAAGUCGAACGUGAAAUCCCCGGGCUCAACCCGGGAACUGCGUCCGAUACUGGAAGGCUUGAAUCCGGGAGAGGGAUGCGGAAUUCCAGGUGUAGCGGUGAAAUGCGUAGAUAUCAGGAGGAACACCUAUUGCGAAGGCAGCUCGCUGGGACGUAACUGACGCUGAGACGCGAAAGCGUGGGGAGCAAACAGG
rnacentral:rRNA from 1 species